UAAUGACAGAAUUUUAGUUUUUGGCUGAACUAUCCCUUUAAGGCUGAACGCUAGUCUUUAGAUUCUUUUACACGUACAGUCUUUACUGGUAAAUUACAGAUAAAUUACUGUAAAGCGAUCAUGUGUGAACAGGACCUUUUUUAAAAAUACUGGUAAACUCGUUCCUGCAAUUUACCUGUAUGGGAAGUUGUAACAUUAGGCUAUCAGUAAAUUACCGGUAAUCUGCUCUGUGUGAAUGCAGAACGAGAUUACUAUGAGCACCUACAAAUUCAAAAGCAAAGCAGCUGCAUGAAUGUGAACGUUUUACAGAAAAGUGAAAACAUCAACAAAAACACUGACCUUACAAACACAACACAGUACACGCAGCCGUUUAGAGGUCAUUUCAGUUUACUAUUGUCACAGAAGUUACUGGCAUGUGUCUCUGCAGUUUUCUUUUCUGUUCUAUUCUCUGCAUUGUGCUGUUAGUGAUUAAUGAUCUAGGAAUGUUGUCAAGUAAAGUUGUGAAUGCUGAGAGGUGGAAAGGAUGAAGGCAAGAACAGGUGGAGUCAGUUACAUAUUUAUUUUACUUUUGUUCAGCUUGAGUGUCUCAGACACUGUGAGUGAAUCAUAGCUAUAAUUGCAUUGUUUAGAGAUCAGAACAUAAUAAGAAUCUGUACUUACGGCUGCAGAUCAACAUGGCGAGAUCAUCGAUUGUGAUCCAUAAUGCAGUCAUGAGUGACGAGAUGCAGCGUGAGGCUCUGCAGUGUGCUCUUCUGGCUGUGAAUAUGUACCAAAAUGCAAGUGGCAUUGCUACCUACAUUGCGAAGGAAUUUGACAGAAAGUAUCAACGCACCUGGCAUUGCGUCGUGGGGAAUACCUUUUCUAGUUAUGUGCAACAUACGAGUAACUCUUACAUGUUCUUCAGUGUAAGCGACAAAAAUAUUCUGCUCUUCAAGACUGGCUGAAUGACAGCAAUAGUUUAAAUGCAUUUUAUAAUAAGAUGCUGGAGUUGUGUCAUGAUUACACUAUAUGCUAUCGAUUCAAUAAACAUUGUAUGACUAGAUUUCUCUCAUUCCUGAUCUGUGUAUUUGGUUCAAUGUCUUGCUCUUUACACAUUAAUAAAUUACACAUAUUAUUACAAU